GCUGGGCGUGGUGGUGCAUGCCUGUAAUCCCAGCAACUGGGGAGGUUGAGGCAGGAGGAUCCAGAGUUCAAAGCCACCCUCAGCAAUUUAGUGAGGCCCUAAACAACUUAGCAAGAUCAUGUCUCAA
rnacentral:sRNA from 1 species